rnacentral:lncRNA from 10 species
ACAGAGGUCUUCUCUAGCUUGCUGGUGGCAGACCAGGAAAGAAAUUAAUAUCUAACAAAAAAAUGACUGAAGCCUGCUGAGAUUACUACACCAAUGUGCAUUCAUCACUUUAAUAUACCACAGAUGUAUUUUCCAUGUCUAGUGAAGCAAAAUGUUGCCUAGAUUAAAAGAUAUGGAAACUGGGGAUUCCCAGGCAAGAUGGCCAGAUAGGACAGCUCCAGUCUGCAGCUCCCAGCGAGACCAACGCAGAAGGUGGGUGAUUUCUGCAUUUCCAACUGAGGUACUUGGUUCGUCUCAUUGGGGCUGGUUAGACAGUGGGUGCAGCCCAUGGAGGGUGAGCAGAAGCAGGGUGGGGCAUUGCCUCACCCAGGAAGCAAAAGGGGCUGGGUAACUCCCUCCCCUAGCCAAGGGAAGCCGUGAGGGACUGUGCUGUGAGAGAUGGUGCUGUCAGGCCGAGAUACGAUGCUUUUCCCACAGUCUUCACAACCCACACACCAGGAGAUUCCCUCGGGUACCUACACCACAAUGGACCUGAGUUUCAAGCACAAAACUGGGCCGCCAUUUGGGCAGACGCCGAGCUAGCUGCAGGAGUCUUUUUUUGUACCCCAGUGGCGCCUGGAACAUCAGCGAGACAGAACCAUUCACUCCCCUGGAAAGGGGGCUGAAGCCAGGCAGCCAAGUGGUCUUGCUCCAGUGGAUCCCACCCCAACAGAACCCAGCAAGCUAAGAUCCACUGGCUGGAAAUUCUAGCUGCCAGCACAGCAGUCUGGUCAACCUGGGAUGCUUGAGCUUGGUUGGGGGAGGGGUGUCUGCCAUUACUGAGGCUUGAGUAGGCGGUUUUCUACUCGCAGUGUAAACAAAGACACCAGAAGUUCAGACUGGGCAGAGAACACUGCCAAGCUGCAAAGUCGCUGUAGCCAGACUGCCUCUCUAGAUUCCUCCUCUCUGGGCAGGGCAUUUCUGAAAGAAAGGCAGCAGCCCCAGUC